rnacentral:sRNA from 1 species
GCACUGGCAAAAUCCAGUGCCGGACUCCUACUCCGAAUAUUCAAAAGGCGCAUGUCGCCAACUUCACGUUGGUUUUUU